rnacentral:rRNA from 1 species
GUGGGGAAUAUUGGACAAUGGGCGCAAGCCUGAUCCAGCCAUGCCGCGUGAGUGAUGAAGGCCUUAGGGUUGUAAAGCUCUUUUGUCCGGGACGAUAAUGACGGUACCGGAAGAAUAAGCCCCGGCUAACUUCGUGCCAGCAGCCGCGGUAAUACGAAGGGGGCUAGCGUUGCUCGGAAUCACUGGGCGUAAAGGGCGCGUAGGCGGCCGAUUAAGUCGGGGGUGAAAGCCUGUGGCUCAACCACAGAAUUGCCUUCGAUACUGGUUGGCUUGAGACCGGAAGAGGACAGCGGAACUGCGAGUGUAGAGGUGAAAUUCGUAGAUAUUCGCAAGAACACCAGUGGCGAAGGCGGCUGUCUGGUCCGGUUCUGACGCUGAGGCGCGAAAGCGUGGGGAGCAAACAGGAUUAGAAACCCUAGUAGUCC